CCGGGGCAUCGCACGCCCCCGGCGCCUUCGUGGCAAGACGGUGUCCCGUCCAAGCGCUGC
rfam:Betaproteobacteria bacterium GR16-43, complete genome.